UACGGGGGGAGCAAGCGUUGUUCGGAUUUACUGGGCGUAAAGGGCGCGUAGGCGGUCAGCACAAGUCAGUUGUGAAAUCUCCGGGCUUAACCCAGAAAGGUCAACUGAUACUGCGGGGCUAGAGUGCAGAAGGGGCAACUGGAAUUCUCGGUGUAGCGGUGAAAUGCGUAGAUAUCGGAAGGAACACCGGUGGCGAAAGCGGCGCGCUGGACCUCUUCUGACGCUGAGGCGCGAAAGCCAGGGGAGCAAACGGG
rnacentral:rRNA from 1 species